rnacentral:rRNA from 3 species
GAUGAACGCUGGCGGCGUGCCUAAUACAUGCAAGUCGAGCGAACGGACGAGAAGCUUGCUUCUCUGAUGUUAGCGGCGGACGGGUGAGUAACACGUGGAUAACCUACCUAUAAGACUGGGAUAACUUCGGGAAACCGGAGCUAAUACCGGAUAAUAUUUUGAACCGCAUGGUUCAAAAGUGAAAGACGGUCUUGCUGUCACUUAUAGAUGGAUCCGCGCUGCAUUAGCUAGUUGGUAAGGUAACGGCUUACCAAGGCAACGAUGCAUAGCCGACCUGAGAGGGUGAUCGGCCACACUGGAACUGAGACACGGUCCAGACUCCUACGGGAGGCAGCAGUAGGGAAUCUUCCGCAAUGGGCGAAAGCCUGACGGAGCAACGCCGCGUGAGUGAUGAAGGUCUUCGGAUCGUAAAACUCUGUUAUUAGGGAAGAACAUAUGUGUAAGUAACUGUGCACAUCUUGACGGUACCUAAUCAGAAAGCCACGGCUAACUACGUGCCAGCAGCCGCGGUAAUACGUAGGUGGCAAGCGUUAUCCGGAAUUAUUGGGCGUAAAGCGCGCGUAGGCGGUUUUUUAAGUCUGAUGUGAAAGCCCACGGCUCAACCGUGGAGGGUCAUUGGAAACUGGAAAACUUGAGUGCAGAAGAGGAAAGUGGAAUUCCAUGUGUAGCGGUGAAAUGCGCAGAGAUAUGGAGGAACACCAGUGGCGAAGGCGACUUUCUGGUCUGUAACUGACGCUGAUGUGCGAAAGCGUGGGGAUCAAACAGGAUUAGAUACCCUGGUAGUCCACGCCGUAAACGAUGAGUGCUAAGUGUUAGGGGGUUUCCGCCCCUUAGUGCUGCAGCUAACGCAUUAAGCACUCCGCCUGGGGAGUACGACCGCAAGGUUGAAACUCAAAGGAAUUGACGGGGACCCGCACAAGCGGUGGAGCAUGUGGUUUAAUUCGAAGCAACGCGAAGAACCUUACCAAAUCUUGACAUCCUUUGACAACUCUAGAGAUAGAGCCUUCCCCUUCGGGGGACAAAGUGACAGGUGGUGCAUGGUUGUCGUCAGCUCGUGUCGUGAGAUGUUGGGUUAAGUCCCGCAACGAGCGCAACCCUUAAGCUUAGUUGCCAUCAUUAAGUUGGGCACUCUAAGUUGACUGCCGGUGACAAACCGGAGGAAGGUGGGGAUGACGUCAAAUCAUCAUGCCCCUUAUGAUUUGGGCUACACACGUGCUACAAUGGACAAUACAAAGGGCAGCGAAACCGCGAGGUCAAGCAAAUCCCAUAAAGUUGUUCUCAGUUCGGAUUGUAGUCUGCAACUCGACUACAUGAAGCUGGAAUCGCUAGUAAUCGUAGAUCAGCAUGCUACGGUGAAUACGUUCCCGGGUCUUGUACACACCGCCCGUCACACCACGAGAGUUUGUAACACCCGAAGCCGGUGGAGUAACCUUUUAGGAGCUAGCCGUCGAAGGUGGGACAAAUGAUUGGGGUG